rnacentral:rRNA from 1 species
GAUGAACGCUGGCGGCGUGCCUAAUACAUGCAAGUCGAGCGAACAGACGAGGAGCUUGCUCCUCUGACGUUAGCGGCGGACGGGUGAGUAACACGUGGAUAACCUACCUAUAAGACUGGGAUAACUUCGGGAAACCGGAGCUAAUACCGGAUAAUAUAUUGAACCGCAUGGUUCAAUAGUGAAAGACGGUUUUGCUGUCACUUAUAGAUGGAUCCGCGCCGCAUUAGCUAGUUGGUAAGGUAACGGCUUACCAAGGCAACGAUGCGUAGCCGACCUGAGAGGGUGAUCGGCCACACUGGAACUGAGACACGGUCCAGACUCCUACGGGAGGCAGCAGUAGGGAAUCUUCCGCAAUGGGCGAAAGUCUGACGGAGCAACGCCGCGUGAGUGAUGAAGGUCUUCGGAUCGUAAAACUCUGUUAUUAGGGAAGAACAAAUGCGUAAGUAACUAUGCACGUCUUGACGGUACCUAAUCAGAAAGCCACGGCUAACUACGUG